rnacentral:rRNA from 1 species
GACGAACGCUGGCGGCGUGCUUAACACAUGCAAGUCGAGCGACGAAGCACCUUCGGGUGUGAAUUAGCGGCGAACGGGUGAGGAACACGUGAGAAAUCUGCCUUCAACACUGGGAUAACUCCGGGAAACCGGGGCUAAUACCGGAUAUGAAACCUGCGGGCAUCCGCGGGUUUGGAAAGUUUUUCGGUUGAAGAUGAUCUCGCGGCCUAUCAGCUUGUUGGUGAGGUAACGGCUCACCAAGGCGACGACGGGUAGCCGGCCUGAGAGGGCGACCGGCCACACUGGGACUGAGACACGGCCCAGACUCCUACGGGAGGCAGCAGUGGGGAAUAUUGCGCAAUGGGCGAAAGCCUGACGCAGCAACGCCGCGUGAGGGAUGACGGCCUUCGGGUUGUAAACCUCUUUCAGCAGGGACGAAGCGCAAGUGACGGUACCUGCAGAAGAAGGACCGGCCAACUACGUGCCAGCAGCCGCGGUAA